rnacentral:rRNA from 1 species
AUACGGAGGGUGCAAGCGUUAAUCGGAAUUACUGGGCGUAAAGCGUACGUAGGCGGUUCGUUAAGUUAGAUGUGAAAGCCCCGGGCUUAACCUGGGAACUGCAUUUAAAACUGGCGAACUAGAGUUGAGUAGAGGGGAGUGGAAUUUCAGGUGUAGCGGUGAAAUGCGUAGAGAUCUGAAGGAACACCAGUGGCGAAGGCGACUCCCUGGACUCAAACUGACGCUGAGGUACGAAAGCGUGGGUAGCAAACGGGAUUAGAAACCCCGGUAGUCC